rnacentral:lncRNA from 1 species
UUUAGUUUAAUAUUUUUUGAGCUUCUACUUAUUGGGGUAAGUUGGUCACUGGACCACUGCAAGCUUUAGGGCUCUGAGUUCCCAUGAGUUUGGGGCUCACGUUUGAGCACUGGAAAGUCGCUGGACCAUCUGCUCCGCUGUACCUAAUGUCAAUGUCUCCAAUCUCAACGUUUUGGCAUGGGUAUCCCCUGCUGCACAAUAGCUUCACUGCAUCCUUGUUCCCUGAUGUUCCUCUGAUCUGCUUGAAGCUGAUGUUGGCAAGCUUAAUCGUUGAUGGUUUCUGCUUGUUACAUUGGUUCCAAGGGCAGUACUCUUGGUCGAUGAGGAUUGGGUUCAUAACGUUCUUGAGAAUGAUAUUCUCGAAAUGAAUAUCGGAGGCGGUGGUGGAGCAAGCUGCAGAAGGCCAUGUCUUGAUCCUCAGUCCGUUGUCAGUCUGUUGGAGAGUGCAGUUUAUGACUCUAAUGCCGCUGACAUCCUGUUCGUUUCCGUACCUUCCAAGGCUUCCGACACUGAUUCCAUGUCCUGGACCGCACGUGACUUUCUCCACGUGAAGGUUCUUCAUCCCAUCUCCAACGGAUAUACAGUCGUCUCCGGUGGAGAUGAAUGUGUUAAGGAUCUUGACUCCGUCACUUCUUCCCAAAUGGAUACCGUCAGUGUUGGGACUGUCUUUUGGGGCAAUGAUGUUGAUGUGAUCCAUGGUCAUGUUCUUGGCACCGAGCACGUUGAUGUGGAAGUUCUUGGCAUCUAUUGAAGAUAUGUCUCUGAUCUCAGCGUUCUCCACGAAAUCAAACCUUAUACUCUAUAAAAAAAAGACAAAAUAACAUCACUAAUCUAUUAUUUUUCACAAAAAGCCAAUUAAAUUAAGAUAUAUUGAGGACAUAUAUAAGCACACAUACGAUGGGAAGUUUCUUGCAGUUGAAAGUCUGGUGACAGUUGUUAACUCUCCAAGCUGCGUUUCCUUCACCAUCGAAAGCUCCACCUCCGUUCAACUUAAAGCCAUUAAUGUUGCCAAAGACAAUCCAUGUGUCCUUUCCCUGGAUCGCGUUACCAUCAGCUUUGACAGUGCCUUGAAUGGUGAUCUCGACUGGAGCUUUGCAUGGACCCCUCAUCUGGAUCUCACCAAGCUUGAACUCUCCUUUUGGGAUCACCACUCUGCUCGGUGUUGGAGAUUGGCAUGCUGUUGUAAAUGCUUUCAGAAGUGCCUGCAUAUGUCAUGCGCAAUAGAACCUUAACAACGUAGCCGAUAAUAUGGUUUUGUGGAUUGCUUGUAUAGCAAGAAAAAGGAGAGCAAUGUAACUAACCUGAGUAAUGUCAGAACCUGGAGAGGAGCCAAUGGUGAUGUAUACAGCAUUGGCUGAAAAUCCCAAUAAACAGAAAAUAAAAACGGUAAAAGCUCCAAAAUAUGCACCCAUUCUUUAAUAAAAAAUUUAUUUACUAUUAAUAUUACUAUUUUUUUUAAAUUUAUUUGUUUUGUUUCUUGAGUUUGAUUAGACUCAUGAGUUACGUUUAUAUAGUGGGUUAGGGAAAGAAAUGUUCAAGUCUAACUUUUCUCACAACCUCUCGUUACUUUUAGGUUGUUUGACCCAUGUGUGUUAGGAAGUGAUCAUAUUUCUAAUUGUGUAUCUUGAAGGAUAAAAACUGGAAACUAACUAACGUCGUAUUUUCAAGAAUAUUUUUACUGAAAAAAUGUCACAAAAACUUUUAGGGAAAGAAAUGUUCAAGUCUAACUUUUCUCACAACCUCUCGUUACUUUUAGGUUGUUUGACCCAUGUGUGUUAGGAAGUGAUCAUAUUUCUAAUUGUGUAUCUUGAAGGAUAAAAACUGGAAACUAACUAACGUCGUAUUUUCAAGAAUAUUUUUACUGAAAAAAUGUCACAAAAACUUUUAACAACUGUACUCAAUCAUAUUGAUAACUUUUAAAAUAACUGAUUUUAGAACGCUAUAUUCAGUUUAUUUUUGAUAAUUAAGUUCUUAAAGUACGUACACAAUAAAACCACUUAACUUUUCUUUCUUAGCAAAAACAAAAAAAAUAAACAUUUCAUAUUUUCAGGAGACUUGUGUGUGAUGUCAUGUUUUUUUUUUUUGAAAAAAGUGUGUGAUGUCAUGUUUCAACUUUCAACGUGGUUGCUAGAUUUUGAGUGAUGCUCCCAAAUUAAGGUUGCUCUUUGUACUUUGAGUUUGAGUCCUAUGUCACCAAAACGUCUUUCUACUGCAAUUUUGUCCUUUAUAGUUUUUACCUUCAUAAUGCACACGUGCUCGAGCUUUGAAACGAUUUUUCCGGAGGCAUUCUAUCUUUUUAUUCGUUGUGUCAGGAAUGGUCCAACAACACACAGAUCUCAGAACAUGCAAAACUUGAAUUGCAUUUGUAACCAAAAAUACUUGAAUUGCACGUGGGUUAUGAAAUUCUUUUAAAUCUUUUACCAACAUACAAUAUACUACGAGCCUGUGUUUUAGAAAACAUGAUACGUUGAACAUUAGCUAAUUUUUUAGUUUUAAAAUCAUGAUUAAUGAGAGUUCUCAAAAUAAAUUAGACUAUACAUAUUAGUGAAUAAAAUAUUGUUUUGAAAAUUCAAAAUUCAUGAACAUCCUUUCUCAAAAUAUUCAUGAUUUUGAAAACCCCGUAGUAAAUUAUGAAAUAUUUUAAAAUUAUGAUAAAAUAUGAAUAUUUAUAUAUACAUAUACAUAUACUUCAAUUGUGUUAAAUCCACAUUAAUUGGGAUUUUGCUCUUACUACGAACCUUUCUAAAGACAAACUUGUAAUAUUUUGGAUUUUGAAACGAAAAUAUUGUGGUUAUCCUUGAAAAAGCAAUGUCAAUACGUAGCUGAUAAUUUUAAGGGUCAAUUUGCUGAAUAACCAACUUUGGCAUCAAAAUUAAGUGAGUAGCAUUGAUUUUGACGUAAUGUAAUAUCUAUCAUUUAUGCCAAUUGUUAUCCGGUUCUGCCCCUUCUUCCAUUAAUCAUCCGGUAAUAUUGUAUUGCUAGAUAUGACUUGGUCAAAAUAACGUAGGGUAAAGAUUAAAUUAAAUACUACUUUAUUUGAUAGAAACACAUGCAGCCACGUACCAAUUUAAUCCACCCAAAAUUUUCUUAUUGCUGGUCAAUAAUGAAUCACUAUUAUUUACAAACACAUCACGUAAAAGAACUCAUGUCACAAAUUUACUUAUAACAUAUUUAUUUACUAUAUGAAGUAGAAUGAGCGGAUAGAAACAUAAUUUUUUAAAAAAAAUAAAAAGUGUAUAAACCCUAAACCCAAAAAAAACAUAAAUUUCCAAAUACUAAAUCCUAAACUCUAAUCACUAAACCCUAACUCAAAUAUAAACCCUAAACCCAAAUAUAAACACAAAACCCAAAUAGAAUGGAACAAAAUAAAUAACAUAGUACAUAUUGGUGAAACUAUAAAAUGUCUAUGAUUGCAUGAAAGAAGUUAGUGUUGACCCAACCAUACCCCUCACCUUCUAAAUACUAAACCCUAAAUUCCAGUCACUAAACCCUAUCCAAAUAUACCCUAAACGCUAAACCUAAAUAAAUAGAUUAAGCUAAACCCUGAUCAAGGAAGUAUAAACCCAAAUAGAAUGUAUAUAAUAUGGUUUACUAUACCCAAACAUUUACUUAGUAAAUCUAAACCCUAGGCAAGAACCUAUAAACCAAAAUUCAAAUAUAAACACAAAACCCAAAUAGAAUGGAACAAAAUAAAUAACAUAGUACAUAUUAGUGAAACUAUAAAAUGUCUAUGAUUGCAUGAAAGAAGUUAACGCUGACCCCAACCAUACCCCCCUCACCUUCUAAAUACUAAACCCUAAAUUCUAGUCACUAAUCACCCUAAUCACUAAGUAUUAUAGAAAUACUAAAACCACAUCCGUAAUCUUUAAAUACUAAACACUAUCCCAACUCCUAAAUACUAUGGCUAUCACUAAACCCAAACCUCAACCCCUACCUUCCAAAUACUAAACCCUAAAUUUAAAUCACUAAACCCUAAACCCAAGUAUAAACCCUAAACCUAAGUAUAAACCCUAAACCCAAGUAUAAACCCUAAACCCAAAUAGAAUGAAACAAAAUACAUAGUAUAGUACAUAUUGGUGAACAAAAUAGAACACUCUUUAUUAAUCGUCAAAUGGAACGAUACAUGAUAGGGUCACCAUCAAACCUCAACCCCACCUUCCAAAUACUAAACCCUAAAUCUUAAUCAAUAAAUCCUAAACCCAAAUAUAAACUCUAAACCCAAAUAGAAUGGAAAAAAAAUACAUAGUAUAGUACUUGGUGAAGAAAAUAACACCUUCUUUAUUAAUCAUCAACUGGAACGAUACAUGAUAAAUACAUAUAGUAACAGACUAUUUUACAUUACAUAACAUGAAUAAAACAUUCAUAAUACAUAUUGUUUUACAUUUCUAUUCUAUACGCAUAAAAUAGAAUAGAACACAAUGUUACAAAAACUGUUCAUCUUCUCCGAUCAAUUCAAGGAUAUUCACAGCGAGAAAGAUAUGUGUAACUGGCAACAUCCGUGAGAAUAGUACAUGUAACCGCCUCGUAAACCGAAAAGAUUAAGGUGAUUGAAGGAAGAGUUGACGAACCUUGCGGCGGUGCCGUUUACGUUGUCGGCGACUCCAUAGAUUUCAGAUGCGCAAAGCUUUUUGUCAGUAGCGAAGCGAGUCAUUGCAGAUGGGCAUCUCAUAGGCAAAGCUACUCCAGAAAUGGUUUUGGUGGUUACACAGUGGAUCAAAAAUGGAGAAGAAACAACCCACGUUCUACAAGGUAUGUGAUUCUCCAAAGGCCACGUUGUAUGUGUGUAAGGUAAGUAUUAUUAAUUUAGUUUUUUUUAGUUUACAGGUUUUACCGGUUGUGUAAGAGGGCAUAGUAGUAUUAUUAUAUAAAAGAUGCAUGGUGUAUUGGUGUAUUAGGGUAUUUAGACAUAGAAUGAAUUAUAAUUUGUUUGAAGGUUAUACAGCCAAAUUUCCCUAAUUUUAAUACUGUCUCUUUUCCCAUUCAAAUAUAUAGAGUUACAUAUAUAUAUAUAUAUAUAUAUAUGUAUUGUAUACCCUGGUGUCGUUUAUCCUACAUAGCGUUGGAGAAACAACAAUGGAGUUCUUAAUUUAUUUAUUUUUGGGUAAAUUGUUAAGUUCUUAAAUUUAAUUUGACAUGAAUACUAUUAGCUAUUAGAGCUCGAACUUCAACAGAAAACGUUACCGUUCCAAUUUCAAGUUUUGUCAAAUCCGAAAUCAGCAGGACUCAAAAUUAAUUCGGCUGUCUAAUUCAAAUCUAAUACUACGAUAAUAACUAGAAUAACAAUUAACAAGUAUCUGGAUAAGACGUCUGAAGAAUAUCUCACAAUAAAAGUGAGAUGAGACCACUGGAGCAGCUAUUUUGUUAAGAAACUGUUAAAGUUUCUCAAAGAAAAAUAUCAUAAUUAUUUGUAUAAUUACAUUUUUAAUAAUUGUAUCAUAUUUUAAUAAGUGUUAUUAAGAGUUCUAAGCAAGUUAUUUAAAAAAAAAUCUUAAAUCAGAAUUCUUCUCUAUUCUUUCUCAUACUUUUUAAAAUCACUAGGUAACUUUUCACGUAUUCAUCAAUGAACAACGAGAAAAUAAAGUAAACAUUUUGUACUGGGAUCAAAAAAAAAUUAAUGGAGAUAAAUUUUCAUUUUUGGUGGGAUCAAUAUAAUUUUUCUUAAGUAAAAACAAAUAUUUUACAUUUUUUAAAAAUAAAAACAAAUACUUUUAGAAAAGUAGUGGGGUCAGCUGACCCCAUCUCUUCCCAGCCCCUGGUCACAUAGAUCAACCCAUUAAUUGCUAGUUAAUUUUAAGGUUUAAGUAAUUUUUAGCAUUUUAAAUUUCUUAAAAAGACCAAUCACAUGCAGAAAAGAUAUAUAAAUCUUUUAGUUUUAUUACAUCAUUAUGCACACACACAUAUGUGUUGGCAUCGAAUAGAAACAUUUUUUCAUUUACAGUUUUCAUAAAGUCUCCCUUAUGUGAGACUUUUCAAAGAAAAAAGGGUUAGAAAGAAGGAAAAACAAAAUUGGAUGUGAAAGCCCUAGAUGUGUUGAUCAGCUUCAACAUUUUACGCUUGGCCAGGUGCCUUGACCACAGGUCCAACACAAGCCUUUGGGUUUUGAGUUCCCACAAGCUUAGGUGUGACGUUUGUGCACUCAAAAGUGGGUGGACCAUCAGGUCCUGUGUACUCAAUGUUAAUGUCUCCAAUCUCAACGUUCUCACAUGGAUGUCCCUUGCUGCACAAUAGUUUCACUGCGUCCUUGUUCCCUGAUGUUCCUCUAAUAUUCCUGAAGGUAAUGUCCACCAGCUUAAUUGUUGAUGGUUUCUGCAAAUAAUAUAAAAACUUUGGGAAUCAGAAUCAUAUAUAGAACUCUAUAUGUAACCUCUACCAAAAUGGUAAAUGCUAAAGAUCUAGAAAACAUCAGAAUAAUUUGUGUGCUGAAUCAAUUUAUCCAUUUUCAUAUAUAGAAUCCGGUGAUAGUGGCAAGACAUAGAAUCUAAUAAAAAAUACUUACGCUCUUGUUGCAUUGGUUCCAAGGGCAGUACUCCUGGUCGAUGAGGAUUGGGUUGCUAACUUUGUUAAGGAUGAUAUUCUCAAAAUGAAUACCGGCAGCAGUGGUGGUGCAAGCCGCAGAUGGCCAUGUCUUGAUCCUCAGCCCGUUGUCGGUUCCCUCGAGGGUGCAGUUUAUAACCUUAAUGUCGUUGACAUCUUGCUCCCAUCCGUAUCUUCCAAGGCUUCCGACACUGAUUCCGUGUCCAGGACCGCACACAACUUUUUCAAUGAGGAGAUUCUUCAUCCCAUCUCCCACGGAGAUGCAGUCAUCUCCUGUGGAGAUCUUAGUGUUGAGGAUCUUGACUCCCUCACAUCUUCCCAA